GACGAACGCUGGCGGCGUGCUUAACACAUGCAAGUCACGGGGCUCGCAAGGCAACCGGCGAACGGGUGCGUAACACGUGAGCAACCUGCCGAUCUGAGGGGGAUAGCCGGCCCAACGGCCGGGUAAUACCGCAUACGCUUGUGUGGCCUCAUGGCUAGACAAGGAAACCUCCGGGGCAGAUCGAGGGGCUCGCGGCCUAUCAGCUAGUUGGCGGUGUAAUGGACCACCAAGGCGACGACGGGUAGCUGGUCUGAGAGGAUGGCCAGCCACAUUGGGACUGAGAGACGGCCCAGACUCCUACGGGAGGCAGCAGUGGGGAAUCUUGCGCAAUGGCCGAAAGGCUGACGCAGCGACGCCGCGUGUGGGAUGAAGCAUUUCGGUGUGUAAACCACUGUUGCCCGGGACGAACAUCCUCUUUCGAGAGGACUGACGGUACCGGGUGAGGAAGCACCGGCUAACUCCGUGCCAGC
rnacentral:rRNA from 1 species